AUAUCGGUUAUGGUGGUGAAGAUAGUGGUCAUCAGCCAUAUUUUAUCUGGGAUUUCAGCUGUGUGACCCGGAGGAGGAAGAGCAAGCUAGUCAUGCUGAAAAGGAGAGGGAGUUGCUCAGACAUUUCCAUGAACAAUCUUUGAGGGCAAAGCUGAAAAACGAAAAGAAAGGUAGAGGCUUUUCUCAAGUGGGUUUUUGAGUGGGAUGUUGAAGAAGGCUUAUACCAGAUCCUUCAAUUCCUUGCAGAACAGCCUUGGUCUAAAGAACAAACUGGAUGUUAGAGAACUUGCAAUUCAUUUUGGGGUGUGUUCGAAUCAUUCCUGUUGUGCAAAAGGUUUAUACCUGUAAGUUUUAAUUUCCUUUCUGCAAUGCAGUUUUCACGUUGACUGAAGUUUUAAAUCUUGAGAUUGCAAUUUGGAUUUUCAGUAGCGAGGGGGUUUAUU